GUUUUGAGGAGUAUUGAUCUGUAAGGAGGAGAUUUCACAGGAGCAAAAGUAGAGCAUACCCUCUGGUAGUAAACAGCAAUGUGCAGUAACUAACUCGGAUACCUUGGACAGCGCCUCGGCACAUUGAUUCCACACUCGUUGGACUGACUGAGUGGGAUAUUUGAUUGAGUGCUCAGAAAGCAAACAAGGAGGAGGAGUGGGCAGGGAUGGAAGCCGCAUGAAAGACAGCGAAACAGCGAUACUCAAUUAGUGCAUUAGUGCACUUCGGAAAGCCCCAGGGCACGGCUUGGAAGUCUCAGACUUCCUGACUCCUCGUGUAUCGUGGGAGGCCGGGGGCUCCCCAGAGUCUACACCAGCCAGAUGAUGGCGGGACAUCUGGAGCAUGUCUGCUGGUGCCGAGUCGUCCCGACACUGACAAGGGGAGAGGAGGGUGGAGCCAGCUCCAGCCCACGUGGCUCUGACGCAUCCAAAGCCAAAAUGAACAUGUGCCUUGUACUAAGAAAUCCCAGGAUUGUCACAACUCGUGCCAGCUGUGGAGGUUAUGACACCUGUGCCAGCGUCGCCAGCUCUGCCCACUGUCAUCUGUUCCAACUGUUCCAUCUGCACUGUUUGUACCAAUUCUCCCAUUUCUGCAUCUGUACCUUCUGCAGAAACGUUUCCAACAAUGCCAGCUGUGUCGUUGGUGCCAAAUACGCCAGAUGUUCUAUUUGUCCACCCUGGGCCAAAUCAAUGCAGUUUUGUGCUCAUUAGUUUUAGCUGGUAGAUUCUAUUUUACAAUUUUUUGAGACGUAUUUAGAUCAAAUCCAGGCUAAAUCCCCCCUUACAACCAUUUUGCAUCUCUCCAUCCAUCUUUUUGCGGCCCCAACUUUCUAUCUGACAACGCGAAGUUGGUCGAUGUCAUUUUGAGCCUAUUAAACCAACUCACGAUAACCAGCACAGUAUUAAUUUGUGGUAGAGCGUUUCCUACAACGUGAAAAUAUA